UCCUCGGUAGCUCAAUGGUAGAGCAUCCGGCUGUUAACCGGAGGGUUGCAGGUUCGAAUCCUGCCCGGGGAG
rnacentral:tRNA from 1 species